rnacentral:rRNA from 1 species
UACGUAGGUGGCAAGCGUUGUUCGGAAUUAUUGGGCGUAAAGGGCGCGUAGGCGGCAUGUUAAGUCGGCUGUGAAAGCCUGGGGCUCAACCCCAGAGGGUCGGCCGAUACUGGCAAGCUAGAGUACGGAAGAGGUAGCUGGAAUUCCUGGUGUAGCGGUGAAAUGCGCAGAUAUCAGGAGGAACACCGGUGGCGAAGGCGGUUCUCUGGGCCUUACCUGACGCUGAGGAGCGAAAGCGUGGGGAGCGAACAGG